AUUAUUUUGGCAGAUUAGUGCAUUAAAUUUAGAAUUUAAUUAUGUAAAUUAAAUUACAAAUAAUAC
rnacentral:tRNA from 1 species